CAAUUUUUAAAAUGCUUUCUGAAUCAUCUUUUUUGAUCAUAUUAUCGUUCGCUGACGCUAAAUAUUGUAAAUUAACAGCAUCACCAGGAUUUUCUGGUUGUUUUACAUUAACUAAUUUGUGUCCUGCGAUAUCAUAAUCGCUAUUUUCUGUUAGAUUAAAUCCUAUACCAGGUGGUCCUCUUGUUGAUUUUCCACCUUUUUUUCUAUUUUUUCUAAGAACGUAUUCAGAUGUCAUCGUCUUUGACUUCGGAUAGGCCUGCGGAGCCGUAGUCCCUUUCAGGGACGCUCUGCCAGUCAUUUAUGGGUGUAAAAUUCUUUCUAUAUUUCAUUUCAGGAGUUUUGAAAUCAAUAGUUAAGCAAUCAAAAUUUUUAAUGUUAUUUUCAUAAUAUUUCCUGAGUUUCUUAUCUAACCCCUUUUCUCUAAAUAUUAAGCUUAUAUCAUUACCAUCACAUGAUGGAAAUAUUGAAAGAUAAUUACAUUGUAAACGAAUUGAUUUUGGCACUCUAUACCAAUCCUGCGUUAUAUAAAUCAUUGAAGCAUUCAUUUUUCUUCCGCGUAUAGCUAAAUCUAUCAGUUUCUUUUGAUCUUUUGCCGUUACGAAAUCAUCAACGACAAUCAAGUUUUGUUUAUCUCUAUCGAGUUCGUCUACAUCGACUAUGCCUUCUAUAUCUGAUGAAAAGUAUGAUUCAAUUAUCGGUUCUUCAGGUCGAAUUUCGUUUUGCUCCAUGAGUGGACUACGUCCACGAAUUUUUUCAUCAUCAAACACAUUUUGUAAUAACUGAUAAUAAGGUUCUUCUAAAUCCUUUGCAUACAAAUAAAAAGUAUCAAAAAAUAAUAUUUUAAUAUAUGUGCACACAUUUCGCAGCGUGUUCGAAUCCUUUGCUCAAAAUUUAUACUUUUUUGAUUUUGGUCAAGUGCAUGCCUCUGUUUAACUUAAAAUAACUAUUAAAUGGUGCAUUUUAGCGGUGUAAAAGGUUAUACCUUUCUUAUUCGCCAUUGAUUACUCUAUCGAUUUAGGCAAUAAACAAGUAGUGUUAAGAGGGUAAAAAAUUAGAAAAACACAAAAAAUGUGACCCGGAAAUGCUGCAACCGGAAACUGGAUGGAUGUAUCCGGUUUUCAUAAUUACCAGAUUAAAAGGCAUGUUCUCUUUAGUAAGUCUACCAAGUUUUGGAAUAUUUGGUCAAAUGAUUCCAAAGUUAUGGUGCAAAAACGUCUUUCCAUACCCCUACUUCCCAGGGCUGUAAAAUUCUUAUCAAUUUCGAUAGAACACGACUUAUAAUCUCAAUUAGCAUCAUUUUAUAGGUCCUUUUUGAGGUUCAUUUUUUGUCGCACAAAUAUGAAUAACCCUGUAUGGUCGAAGGUUGCGCCGGUUGCCCCUCGACCGAUAUCAGUUGGUUGGCUGUUCCAUGGUGUGAGGUGUUCGUUUUCUGUAGUUCUGUAACCUCCAUCUAAUCAACACAAAUUUUUUGCUGCAUACAAAAUAUGGGUGAUAAGAUGGAUCGUAUCCAUUUAACUGAUAAAUUUAAACAGUUGCAAAUCGGUAGUCUGCAAACAAUGCCGUCUUUUGUGGGUGAUUGUAUUCUUUUUAUCAACGCUAACCCUGUGGCCGUUCACGUAGUGGCAGGGAAUGGCGUGUUAUCAGUAACACCGUUCCCAUUAUUCCCAAUGGGACUAAUUGGCUUUCAAGUACCUGCCCAGUACCUGGAUCAGACCCAACCGAGAAGUAUAGUUAUCGCCCUUACUCCAGGAUUGAGGAUAACACUUUGGUUCAAAAGCAAAGAAGAAAAGUGGAACUUCAUUGGGUUCCUCAAUUUGCCGGAAAAUCUCUCGAGUUCAGAUGAAACAGGAAGUUCGGACUCCAGGUCCAACCCAUCUACAGGCCCAUCUACUGAUUCAGGGAUUAUAAAUUAAAUAUUAUUAUUAAAUUAAUUAAUUAAUAAAAAAUAUUUUGUGGAA